AUUGCUUCUUGGCCUUUUGGCUAAGAUCAAGUGUAAUUUAAUUUUCAGAUUUUUUACCUGAAUGGCUUGCAAAUUUCAAGAUAUUGAUCUAUAUUUUCCCAGAAUAAAUGAGGCUUUUC
ensembl:snRNA U2 U2 spliceosomal RNA